GAUCAUGGACUCAGAACGAACGCUGGCGGCAGGCUUAACACAUGCAAGUUGAACGGGAUUGAUUGGUAGCUUGCUAUUAAUCAUGAGAGUAGCGCACUGGUGAGUAACACGUGGGAACGUACCUAUUGGUGGGGGACAACAGUUGGAAACGACUGCUAAUACCGCAUAAGCCCUGAGGGGGAAAGAUUUAUUGCCGAUAGAUCGGCCCGCGGAAGAUUAGGUAGUAGGUGGGGUAACGGCCUACCUAGCCGACGAUCUAUAGCUGGUCUAAGAGGACGAUCAGCCACAUUGGAACUGAGACACGGUCCAGACUCCUACGGGAGGCAGCAGUGAGGAAUAUUGGGCAAUGGAGGCAACUCUGACCCAGCCAUGCCCGCGUGAGUGAAGAAGGUUUUCGGAUUGUAAAGCUCUUUCAGAUGAGAAGAUGAUGACGGUAUCAUCAGAAGAAGCACCGGCUAACUUCGUGCCAGCCGCAGC
rnacentral:rRNA from 1 species